rnacentral:rRNA from 1 species
UGAAAAAGAACCUGAAACCGUGUACGUACAAGCAGUGGGAGCACCCUUUUGGGUGUGACUGCGUACCUUUUGUAUAAUGGGUCAGCGACUUAUAUUCUGUAGCAAGGUUAACCGAAUAGGGUAGCAGCAGGGAAACCGAGUCUUAACCGGGCGUUAAGUUGCAGGGUAUAGACCCGAAACCCGGUGAUCUAGCCAUGGGCAGGUUGAAGGUUGGGUAACACUAACUGGAGGACCGAACCGAC